AAUUAUGUCCAUACCAACUUAAUAGUCCUCAAUCUCACCUGAGCUUGGAGGUUGAGUAAGGCUAGACUUCAUUAGUAUUUGGAUAGGAGACUACUGGGGAAUACCAGCUGCUGGAGGCU
rnacentral:rRNA from 1 species